CAAUUAUGCAUCAACAGAUCUUGCUGCUCUGUGGUACCGACUGAACGAGGAAAAGGCUGAAUGGAUUAUAUAUGUUACUGAUGUUGGCCAAAGAGAGCACUUUGAAAUGCUUUUUGCUGCGGCCAAACGAGC